UUCUGAAGGAAAAGGGAACGUAUUCAAUUUUACGUUACUGGAGAUUCACAUUACUUUUUAAGGAGAAAAGAAACAAAUACAGAUGGAUACGUUGUCCGUGUUUUUCAGCUCAUCUUUAGGAUAAAACGCAACGGUCCAUUCCCGGGGGGAAAGGCUACUGUCUGUGAGGGGGGUAAAUGACGAAUAUUUUCUUUCAAACAAGAAAACGGUGAGUUUUCAAAUUCUGCUUCUGCUGCUGAAUGUGUGUUCAAUUCCGUGCCUCUGAUAUUUCGCCGGUAUCUUCUUUACAGUACUCACCGUGAUCAGAUCACAGAAGAGGGACGAUUAAACCUUGUUAAAGAGACACACGAGAAAAAGGGAUAUGUUUUUGGAAAGAUAACAAUAUCCGACUCUUGUGCCACUGCCAGCCCGGCUCUUGUUGGGAAGAGAAAGAUCUGACUUUCACUGAUUCGGGAUGUUUUCAGCCCAAUCUGUGUCGUGUGCUCGUGUGUCUGUGUCUGUGUGCGAGAGAGAGAGAGAGAGAGGGAGAGAGGGAGCUGCCGUAGCAUUGCAUGCCGUUAGAUCCGCCCAAACAUCUGUCCGUCUAACCAUUGGCGCAUCCAUCAAUGUGUCAUACUGGCUGCACAUUGCAGCGACAAUACCUCAGACAUAAUAGAGACCCCGAGCUUCCUCACAAAUCACACGGAUACUGUACAAGUUCGCAAGAGGGCUCUUCAGAAUCACGCACAAGAGGCUGAGACCGACAGCAGAUGUGCGCACCUCAAAUUUCUCGCAGUUUUUCCAAUUAAUGG